rnacentral:misc_RNA from 1 species
CACAUCUCUCUCUCUCUCUCUCAUGGCGUCGCCACCUCUGCUGCUCAUCUUCUCUGCCGUCGCCUUGCUCGUCGCCGCCUCUCCGGCCGCCUCCACCAACUCCGAAGGCGAAGCUCUGCACACGCUGAGAACCCGGCUCUCCGAUCCAACAAACGUCCUGCAGAGCUGGGAUCCGACGCUCGUCAACCCCUGCACGUGGUUCCACGUCACCUGCGACGAUCACAACCAUGUUGUCCGCCUGGAUUUAGGCAAUUCCAACAUCUCCGGCCCUCUCGGCCCGGAGCUCGGCCGCCUCCAGCAUCUCCAGUACUUGGAGCUAUACCGGAACAACUUUGAUGGGAAGAUUCCCGAGGAGUUGGGCAAUCUCAAGAGCCUCAUUAGCAUGGACCUCUAUGGCAACCGCUUCCAUGGCGAG